rnacentral:rRNA from 1 species
CUGGUGGGUAGUUUGACUGGGGCGGUCUCCUCCUAAAGAGUAACGGAGGAGCACGAAGGUUGGCUAAUCCUGGUCGGACAUCAGGAGGUUAGUGCAAUGGCAUAAGCCAGCUUGACUGCGAGCGUGACGGCGCGAGCAGGUGCGAAAGCAGGUCAUAGUGAUCCGGUGGUUCUGAAUGGAAGGGCCAUCGCUCAACGGAUAAAAGGUACUCCGGGGAUAACAGGCUGAUACCGCCCAAGAGUUCAUAUCGACGGCGGUGUUUGGCACCUCGAUGUCGGCUCAUCACAUCCUGGGGCUGAAGUAGGUCCCAAGGGUAUGGCUGUUCGCCAUUUAAAGUGGUACGCGAGCUGGGUUUAGAACGUCGUGAGACAGUUCGGUCCCUAUCUGCCGUGGGCGCUGGAGAACUGAGGGGGGCUGCUCCUAGUACGAGAGGACCGGAGUGGACGCAUCACUGGUGUUCGGGUUGUCAUGCCAAUGGCACUGCCCGGUAGCUAAAUGCGGAAGAGAUAAGUGCUGAAAGCAUCUAAGCACGAAACUUGCCCCGAGAUGAGUUCUCCCUGAGACUUAGAGUCUCCUGAAGGAACGUUGAAGACGACGACGUUGAUAGGCCGGGUGUGUAAGCGCAGCGAUGCGUUGAGCUAACCGGUACUAAUGAACCGUGAGGCUUAACCUUACA